UGCUGGAAACACUGGGAGGCAGGAAGUUUGAAAAAACGGCCACUGCCGCCCGCAAUGUCUCGGUCGUGGGCUGGUCGUGGGUUCGUUAUGCCAGUUGUGCGUCAUUCUAAGCCGUUCUGUAUAUUUAUACUGGAUAUUAAUUGGAGUCAUUUAGCUGUGCUGAUGCUGUUUGCCGUGUGUUUUGCAUCAGUGCUUCGUGACAUCGGCUGUAUUGCGUGUUUUCGCCGACGGCUUACUACCACAAUGGCGGGAUCUGCGUUCGCCGCCUUCGUGUCUCGGUGCGUCUUUGUACGUCGCACGUUCGGAUAACACUUUUUCCGACAGCUGGACAUCCUUCUUGUACCUUGGCGCUAGCUGGAUGACGGGACAUCAUGAUCAGUGUAUUGCUUGCCUAUGUCUACAAGAACCGUCACGCGUGGCCUGUGACAGCAAGCUUUUGUGGGCAACAAGUGCUCUCCUACGAAGGCUGGCCUACUCUGGCAGUGGCAGCAAUCAUCUUCAAGAUUUAUCCAUAAUCACCUUUGCUGCUUUUUGUCACUCUUGUUGAUUACACUUUCUGCGUCUUUUCUAAUUUAUUAGGUAAUAAAGUAUGAGUGUGUGACAUGGUGUGAAGUUGAUGUCUUGCUGCAUUUUCGCUUGCACUCAUCUUUUAUGCAUGAAAAGCUCAUCGUACAGUUUAUGAAAAAAAAUAAUAGCAUAUUAUGAUUUAUCUUUCAGUUCUGGUAACAUGCAACGUACAAGGAAUUCACUAAUGGAUGAUAUGCCGAAGAACUGGCCAUUAUUUCUGCGUGAUGCUGUGCAAGCAUGUGGCGUUACUUACAAGAGGCACCCACAAAGUAAGUUACAAUUUACUUUUAAAUGAAGCA